GCCAAUGUGGCAUAGGGGUUUGAGUUCUGGACUACAACUCUGGAGACCAGGGUUCAAUUCUCAGCUCAGGCC